GAUGAACGCUGGCGGCGUGCUUAACACAUGCAAGUCGAACGAGGAUUACCGGUUGAAGUUUUCGGAUGGAAACUGGUGAUACCUAGUGGCGGACGGGUGAGUAACGCGUGGGAAACCUCGCCCCAUUCCGGGGGAUACCAGUUGGAAACGACUAUUAAUACCGCAUAAGCGCACACUGCCGCAUGGCAGAGUGUGAAAAACCACGGUGGAAUGGGAUGGUCCCGCGUCUGAUUAGCCAGUUGGCAGGGUAGCGGCCUACCAAAGCGACGAUCAGUAGCCGGCCUGAGAGGGCGACCGGCCACAUUGGGACUGAGACACGGCCCAAACUCC
rnacentral:rRNA from 1 species